rnacentral:lncRNA from 1 species
UCAACAUUAUACCCAGGGUACUCUAUGAAAAAUUCUUUACAUAUCCUUUAUUAGAGACAACCAUGUGUUUGCAGUUUGCAGAUCAGACGAUAACUUUUCCAAAAGGAAUAGUGAGGAACCUUUGUGUCCGAGUUGGUACUUUGUAUGCCCCAGCAGACUUCGUAGUGGUAGAGACCGGAAAUGAUGAGAGAGCACCUAUCAUCCUAGGGAGGCCAUUCUUGAACACCACGGGAGCUAUCAUCUACGCUAGUGCUGCCAAGAUCAGUUUCUACGUCAAAGGGAAGAAGGAGACAUUUUUCUUCAAGAACAAGAUUACACAAAUUCAAGAUCAAUCCAGACGUAAAUCAAGGAAGAGGACCAACAGGAGGAACAGGAACAAGCAAGUGUGGACCGAGUCAGCUAAGAUGGUCACUGUAGUUCAUGGAGGCCAAGAUCACCAACUUAAGUCACCGCUUUUGACCAAGAAGGACGACCCAGGAAUGCCAAGCAUCUACUGCUCCAUAAAUGGAUACAACUUCUACAAGACGAUUUGCGACACCGGAUCAGGCGUCAACAUAAUGGCCGCAGUCACCUAUCGGCUCUUGUUCGGGACCAUGCCACUAAGACCAACAUACAUUCAGCUCCUGAUGGCAGAUCAGACAUUUCGAGAAGUUAAAGGAAUAGUAACUGAUGUCCCAGUCAAAAUAGACGAUCACUUUGUCUACACAGACUUUCAAGUUGUUGACAUGGGAGAAGACGAGUAUGAUCCACCCAUCAUCCUUGGAAGACCGUUCCUCAGCACCGUUAAAGCAAUUAUCUACAUUGGAACCGGAGAAGUCCAUAUGCACUUCCCCUCAGAGAAGGUACGCCGUUAUUUUACUGACCCUAACUAUAUCGUUGAAGAAUCUAAGCAGGUAAGAAAACGACGCAACCGCAACCAGAGGAGGCAGAUCAUCAAGGACGGAUGGGCAGACUAUGAAGGAGAAGUUGUAAGGUCAGAAGACGAUGAGUUUAAACAAAAUUAUCCAGAGGAGAUUGAAGCACCGAGUCAGGUGUGGAAAAUGAAGAUAACUAUACAUGAAGAGGAGGCGCUGCCGGAAGUACCGACUACGCCACCCAACAAACCUCAGGACGAUUAAGAAAUUGGAGAGUCCCGUUCGGAGGACUUAAAAACACCGAACGCCUUGCCAAGAGAUAAACUUGGUAGUUAUCCUUUCCCUUUCAAUUAUUUCAAAUAGUUUACUUAGUUAAUCAUGUUCGUACUAUCUUAAAAAGAAAAUAAAAAUGUGAAAAAAACUGUAAGCCCCAUGUGAGUAGACGAGUGGCAUAAAACCCAUAAGUACAUUCACUGUGGUGGCAUAAAAAUAAAAUAAUUAUUUUUCUGCUCUAUAAAAACAAAAAUAUAAAAACAGGGAGUAAUAUUUAUUAAGGAGUCUCAACAUGAUAAAGGCUAGAUAUUUAUGCUAACACUUAAUUAGUUCCACAAGCUUUGUUGUCUAUUUGAGCUCCACAGAAUUUAAGAAUCAAGAAGACUAGCAGACGGAGGACAUUCUAAUCGCUGUCAGAAUGCUGCUGACUUUCAAAUACACCUCUGCCACCUGCUAGCUACGUCAAGAGAAAUUACGUCAAAAUUCAGCUUGGGGGAGAGCACCCCCAUUUAUCUCGAUAAGUAUUUCUAUCUAUCUUUAUACUUAUAUUAUUUUAGAAUAUAAAUACACAUAAACUAUGGAAAACCAAAUAAAGAUUUUAUGCUUAUAUAUAUAUAUGUCUUUUGCUUAGUGUGUUUAAUAAAUAAAUAAAGUGGCUAUGCUAAUCUGUAUCUAAAUAAAACUUAAGCAUGGAUAUGAUGAAUAGUUGCUCUGCCUAAUUUGCAAAUUUUAAGUUCUCUCUCAAGUUUAUAUAUAACUGUUAUAAUUUAAAGCUUGCCCUAAACCUAAACUUGUGGGAUGAAAACUUGAUCUGAAGUUUAAGUUGUUAACGGAUAUGAUAUGGGAAGGUUGAGCUGCUGUUUAUCUGUUCCUAGAGAUGCUAGAAUUCUGGAGAAUUUUAUCUUUGAAAAUCUUUAAAAUGUUGCAUGAUGAGUUCCUGUAUGAUGAGAGUUUAAAUUCCUACCACAGCCAUAUAUACAUGCUUGCCAGACUUUGAGCCACACAUUUACUAUUUACUACUUAUGAGCAUUGAGUGUGGUCAAGCUGUGUAGACUCUUAGGAGCUUGUCAUGUGGUUAAAUCAAGAUUUCACUUGCACGUUCACUCAUAUAUGCUACUUCUACUCUGGAAGUACCAUCCACAUAUAUCCACCCAUUCCAUCUCCAGAAUCACCCAAAAAUAUUCUACUCCUAAUCCGGGAGAGAAUAACCAAAAAUAUUUCUGUUUUCCCUUAUGAAAUAAGUGCUCAAGUUAUCUUGUUACUACCACUUGCUAUAUUAUCUCAAGAGAUGAAUGCUCUAAAAAAAGAAAAAGAAAAAAAAUAAAUAUACGAGGAAAUAAAAAGGAGCAAGUGCUCGGAACCUCGAAAGAAAAGAAAAAGUGAGUCGAGAGGUAAAAAUGGACAAGUGUCCGACAGUAGAAUUAGGGGUACAAGAUACCCACCUGAGAGACAAGAAAAAGAAGAGCAUCUCAUUCUCCUCAUAAAGUUUCAAAAGCAAGAAAGGUAUGUAUUCCCUCAAAGAGCAAAGUAGAAUUAGACUUCCACCACCAUUGUUUUCACCAUUGUUAUCACCAUCAUCACCAUACACCAUUCAUUCGCCACACAUGCACAUCUUGAUUUGACUUAUUGAUUUGUUCCUUUGGAUCCAUGGUUUGACUAUACAAUAAAUGUCUUGUAAGUAUGUAUAUUUUAUCUCCCACCUAUGAGCUCCAGAUAUUAAAGCUUUAUUAGAGUAGGGUGAGAGAGAGGGCAAUGUCACUAUGCCUCAUACCACAAAUACUACAUAUCUUGAGAGAAGGCAUAUACCAUCACUACCUUGGUAAGGAUCCAGAAAUACCACAAAAGAGAGACCUGAGAGAAUCAUACAAGGAAUUUCUGAGUUUUAUUUGAAAAUCUGCAAAAACCCCAGAGCUAUAGCUGAUUAAGAAUAAGAGACAUGGCACUUGGCUAGACUGUUCUAUCUUUUAACCACUCAAGACAGAAGUGACAGUUACAAGUCCCAUGGUGAAGGUAAAGUAAGUAAGUUUUAAGUCUUGACAGUUUACUCUAACUUAGAGAUGAGAUCUUAUUUAAAAGCAUGUGUACCGUCAAUUUUUAAAGAUUUUGCAACAACUUAUGAUCCAUAGCUGAAUCUAUCCUUGCUCAGGGACGAGCAAGAGGUAAGCUUGGGGGAGUUUGUUGACGGUCCUUAAGUAUCAAAUUUAAUUAUCAAAUAAACAAAGAAAAGGAUCCAAAUGAAAUCAACAUCUAGACUUAGGGUUUUAUCUGACAGAAUUCCAUGAGUUUUGGUGUUUGUCUAUUUCUGCAGGGGGUUAUCAGGAAAUAUGGAAGAAAGGCCCACAUGUCGGGACUACGUAAAGAUAUUAACGUGCUGCGCAAUUAUCUUACAUCUAGAAGACUCCAGAAGCCACGAGACCGAAGCGGAGGCGAAACGGGGCCUGACCCUGGGCGGCCGCCCAGUUGGUCAGGGCGCCCGCCCUGCCCCUGAGUCCAAUCAGGACUCUGCUUUGCGGGAGAUCUCCACCGACCUAAAGGAUGAAUCUAAACCAUACAAUCUAUGUCGGUUUGAUCCAAGGGCCCAUAUUCACUUGAAGGGACUAUAAAACCAGACCCCCUGGCCCCUGGAGGAGGGAGCCUCUCAACCCUAAUUCAUUGUUCCAUCAAGGGAGAAGAAGCCUCUGAUCAAGAUUAGAGCCGCCACAUCAAUUAGAUAUCUAGAUUAGCAUAGCUACAUAGGAUUAGAACUAGAAGGAGUCAAUCUUCGAUUAGUUUCCGGAUCUGUCAGGAGGAUUCUUGGUAAUUCUCUAAUUGUGCUUCUAAUUGCUUUCUAAUUAUCUUUGUUCUUCAAUAUUAUGAAUAUGACUUUGUUCUACUUCAAUAUAUUGCUUAUGACUUUGCUCUACUUGCUUAUAUUCAAGAUUAUAUUGUUCUUAGUUUAUCAUAGUUAUGUACUUGGCUUAGUUAGAUUCGAUCUAUAUACAUGCUUAGGAUCGUAUAGCGUUUAUCCAUCGGAUCCAUGGGUAAAUGAUAGAUAUUGUGUAGGCGUGGUGCUUAUACCGUAUUUAUCUGCGAUUGUACCCAAUAUGCCAGAUCGUGGGGUGGUUCGUGAUAGUGACAGCUUCAUUGAUUCUUAUAUAGUCCCUCUCUCGUGUAUUGGGCUGGCAGAGCAACAUUAUUAUAGGGGUGUGAUUUCUAUGUUUCUCAUAUUCCUUGCUAAUAUCACUAUGCAUGGGCGUAGUCUUGUCUCACAAUGAUUGCUAAGUAUGCUUGCACUAAAUAUGAUAUGCUAGACUAUAUAGUUAAGAAUAACUUAGGGAAUAUUCUUGUAGUUCGUUCUAAUACCAUGCUAAUGACUUUCUAGAGUAUCUAAUUGAGGUGCUUAUCAUAUUUAUUAUGUGGCUAGAUCAGAUUAGUUAUCCUUGUCACUAUUAUUAUUUCAUAUAUCUUUUAUGUGACACUUAUCCCUGUAUGAAGAGUUAGAUAUAAUGUUCUCAAUUAUACAUGCAAUGAUAAAUGCUCAAUCUCAUAUUCUAUUCUGUAAUCAUUAGUGAUGAUUUCUAAUCCCUUCCCAGUGGUAAAAAUAUAAAUAACGAUACCUGGAAUACUUCCCGGUUAAAAUGCUGCAUCGGUAUUAAUCUGUGCGCUUGCAGAUCCCAAUUAUUAUUUAUUUAGAAGAGCAAUUGCAUAUUUCAAUACCGCGUCUCUCAUGUCAUGCUGGGGAUGACAACUUGGCUUAAGUGGUGUGAGGGAUAGGUUUGGCAUUUUUGGCACCGUUACUAGAUUUAGAGAACUUAGUCUACUUUUGGUAAUGAUGUUAAGAAUACCCAACAACCAUCUUUUUUGAUGCACUAAGGUAAGUAUAGCAUGUACCGUCAAUGCAGACUACACAACCUGACUUACCUUUGAUCUGCCCCGAUAGUGAAAAAAGGCCAGGGUAAUCGGUGGUGGUGACAAAGAUGAUGGCUUUAAGAGUGAAGUACUCCUUUCGUGAUGCAUCCAUCAUAUUGACACAUUUUUCCCAUAGUAUCUUCAUGUCCUCCAGGAGCGGCUCCAGGAACACAUCUAUAUCAUUGCCUGGCUGUCGUGGUCCUGAAAUAAUCAUGGUUAGUAAAAGAUACUUGCGCUUCUGACAUAGAUAUGGAGGUAGGUUGUAGAUGGUUAGGAUGACUGGCCAUGUGCUGUGGGAGCUACUGAGGUCACCAAACAGAUUCAUCCCAUCGGUACAUAGUGCGAACCUGACAUUCCUCGCCUCAUCACCGAACUCUUUCGAAAACUUGGCGUCAAACCGCUUCCACUGCUUGCCAUCAGAGGGGUGUCGCAACUUGCCAUCAUCCUUCAUUCGUUCUGCUGAUGCAUGCCACGACAUCAGUUGGGCAUCCUCUGGGUUCCUGAAUAGCGCACGUAGGCGAUCGAUCACUGGUAGGUACCACACUGAGAGUGCAGGGCUUUUCCUCUGCAUGUAACCCCCUUCUUCCUCAUCCUCGGGAGAUGGGAUCUGCUUCUUGGCCGUCUGGAUCUUCGCUUUCUUGUUCCCUCUCUUUGUUGAUCCCUCAACAUCCGUGUCUGCACGACAACCGGCAUUCCUAUUAUAUCGGCUCGCGCCGCAGUGGGGACAGCUCUGCAAGUUCUCAUACUUACCCCGAUAUAAAAUACAGUGGUUAGGGCAUGCAUGAAACUUUUUAAGCGUCAUUGCCACUGGACGAAUCAUCUUCUUCGCUCGAUAGGUAUUGGCAGGCACCUUGUUACCCUCUGGGUAUGAGUCAGCAAGCCUCUCUAACAGGUCAUUAAAGCUUGUGUCGGACCACCCAUGGCGAGCCUUUAGCAUGAGCAUCUGGAGGUUAAAAUGCAACACCGUAAAAUGCUUUGGACAACCCUCAUACAGGGGAUCAAUUGCAGCCUGCUUCAUCUCUUUGAACGCGAGUUCUGUCUCGCCUGACCCCCCGGGGCUCGGACACAGACACCGCCUCGCCCGACCCCCUUGGCCUCGGGCGUAAGUUCCGUCUCUCCCGACCCCUCUAGGGCUCGGGCGCCAACACCGCUUCGCCUGACUAGGGCAAGGCUUUCAACGCACGGCGCCCGUACCCAUGACGUGACAGGCGCAGUAACUCCCACAUCGCAGCAGGGCAUGGUGGCGACUAUUCCAACCACCCUGGUCACUGAAGCAUCACCUCUUUCACUGUGCAGCCUUGCCUCUUUCACUGUGGUGUACCGCCUCACAGUAAAAGGGGAAUGGGAGAGGUUGAUCAGCAUCACUAUUUGCUAUCUUUUCCCACUGCUAACAUGACAGAUUACAGUGUCGCCGAUCCGACCCCCACGACUCCAACAGGGCUCGGCAACUCCCCAUAGGAAUAACCAUACUGUCAACCAUACCUCAAGGACAGGAAGGUCAAGCUCCUACAGGGUCGGGACUGUAACCCCUUGUUGACGGUCCUUAAGUAUCAAAUUUAACUAUCAAAUAAACAAAGAAAAGGAUCCAAAUGAAAUCAACAUCAAGACUUAGGGUUUUAUCUGACAGAAUUCCACGAGUUUUGGUGUUUGUCUAUUUCUGCAGGGGGUUAUCAGGAAAUAUGGAAGAAAGGCCCACAUGUCGGGAUUACGUAAAGAUAUUAACGUGCUGCGCAAUUAUCUUACAUCUAGAAGACUCCAGAAGCCACGAGACCGAAGCGGAGGCGAAACGGGGCCAGAGACAGGGCGCCCGCCCACCUCCUGUGGCCAAUCACGCUCAAUCUCGCGGAUUAUGCUCCACCGACCUAAAGGAUCAAGAAUAACCGUUCAAUCAAUGUCGGUUUGAUCCGACGGCCCAGGAUCACUUGAGAGGACUAUAAAACCAGACCCCCUGGCCCCUGGAGGAGGCACCCCUUGAUCAUUAUUCAUUAUUCAUAGACAGAGCAAAAGCUAGGGUUUAGAGAUGAGAGCUCUCCUCUCUUCUCUAAACUAGAGUAGAUCUAGAUAGUAGCGAGAUGGAGAGCGAAGGAGGAUUAGAGGAGAGGCCGGCCUGUCGGUUCUUCCUCCGGUUGUACUUCGCCAUGAUCAAGCUCUAAUCAAGCUUGCUCAUGGGAUGACUCUGGUAAUCUACUUCUAAUUCAUUAUGCAAUUACUAAUCAUGUAUGUUCUGGUUCACAACUCUUUUGAGUACUUCUAAUCUGUAGGACCCUAUAGGUUAGAGUUGUAGUAUAGGUGUAAGCGUGGUGCUUAGACCUAGAUUACUUGUGGAUAUCCCCUGACUAGCUGGAUCGUGUGGUAGGCCGCGUAGGUGACAGUUACGUUGGUCCCCUGUAGUCUACCUCUCGUUAGCAGGACGGGUAGGGUUUAUCGGCCUAUGGAUAAGCAUCCUUUGUGGUGUACUCUUAUCACGUGGUUCGUCCCAGACAUAGACAUACCCCUUUGAAGUAGAGAAACCAUAGUUAUCCUCUCUAUUCUGCUACCAUCGCCCAUAUACUAGAUUGCUCUACUCUCUAUUCCCAUAUUAUCACUCACUGUUAUCUUACCUUUAAUAUUGUUCUUAUUCGAUUCUAUCAUCUUUCCUAUUUACACCUAUCUAUCUAUCUUGGUUAAGUUAGAGCGUAGUUGGUUCUCCCGUUUCCCUGUGGAUACGAUAAAACCUUUAACCGGGUAAAAGCUUCAACGGUAUCCGUGCGCUUGCGGAUUAUCUGUGUGCGUAUAAAUACCAUAGUACACUCUAGUGCCACGCUGGGGAUGACAACCUAGUAUUCAAGUGGUGUUAGCAAGUGUCAACAAGCAUUUUUGGCGCCGUUGCCGGGGAAACGGUUGCUGAGUUGACUACGAACUAGUUUAAUCAUUUUAUAAAAAAUAAAUAAAUAAAAAAAAAAUAUAUUUUCCUUUUAUCCUUUGCCUCAUCCCUGCUAUUCUUUCUUCUUAUCUAAUCCUUGAUCUCUGGUCUAUUAUGAAUUCAAACAUGUCUAUCUAUGAAUUUCAUAGACCUAUGGGAACACAUCUCGAACCACCAAAAUCUUCAAAGCCUAUCAUAGCAUCUAGUUUUGAGAUAGACCCCGAAUACAUAGAAUUUAUUCAAAAACAACCUUUCUCAGGAGAAGGUGAGGAAAACCCAUACACACACCUAAGAGAGUUUUAUCGAGUCUGUGUCCUCCUUCGCAUAGAAGGCAUGUCCGAUGAGACCCUUAAAUGGAAGCUCUUUCCGUUCUCUUUAACGGGAAAAGCUAGACAUUGGUAUAAACUCAAAGUAGGGAGUGUUCAUGGAGAUUGGAAGGAGUUAUAUAGUAGUUUUCUUUCUAAAUAUUUUCCAAUCUCCAAAGUGGUGGAACUUCGACGUGAGAUUCUUUCUUUUAGACAAUUGGAAGAAGAAUCUCUUGGCAAAUCAUGGGACCGCUUUAUUAACCUUACUCUCACUGGCCCAAAACUUUCUAUUCCAGAAGAAGUUCUUCUAAUUCACUUUUUUGAGGGCCUUAGUAGGAAAAAUAAGCAAACCCUUCAUGCGGCCUCUGGAGGAUCUUUCCACCACCUAUCCGCUAGUGAAGCUUGGAAUUUGAUUGAUUUAAUGAGCGGAAAGUCUCCUAGCUUUUAUAUCCCUGAGAAAGAGAAAGAACCUGUUCCUAGACAAGAAGAAGAUGUUUCGAUAGCCAGAUCACAACCACUUCAAUCCCAAACUUUAGCUAUCGAUCCUAAACCAUCAAUACCCCAAAAUUCUCUAAGGGAGGAAGGAAUUCCGACCUUAAAUCUUUUAGAUGCUGAUGGUUUAGACUUCUGGUUCUAUAAGAGACCUUAAAGCAGGGAUAAUUCAAAUCAUUGUAAUAAUGUUUCUCUUAGAGAAUGUCCUGGUUCCUAUCAUGAAGAAGUCGAGGAUGACAUAUCAAGUGAAGGAGAGCUAAGCCAUAUAGACAAUUCUAUCUACUCCCCUUCCAUGUUCACAAGUUCUAAAUCCAUCCUUGACCUUAGAGAUCCCUCUUAUCCCUCUUCUUUUCAGUCUCAUGAUGAUCCUAGCAAUUCACCAAGACGACCAAACCAUAGGAGUCAUGAAGACCAUAAGGAUGGCAUGUCAAGUAAUGCCAUAGAAGGAGAGCUAAGCCAUAUAGAAAAUUCUAACACCUCCCCUAUUUUGAUCACAAGUUCUAAAUGGCUAGAAUGUGUAGAAUGGAUGGAUAAGGAAGAAGCCUUAAUGAAUUCUGACUUUGGUUCAAUUUCAAAUGGUGAGUUCUUGACUCCCUUUGAAGAUGAGAUUCAUCCAACUAUAGAAGAGGACAUAAGUGAGACCAAUCCAAGAGAAACUCUGAACAUUCAGAUUAGAGACGAAGAUAACAUUAAUGAGCAUGGAAUUUAUUUCAUAGCCACUUUGUUUACUCCAUGCUCAUAUGCAACAUCUUCCCAAUCUAUUGGUCUCUCCGACAUCACCACACUUGAGAUCUCCAACCCCCUCUUCCUUUCUAUUUAUAAAAACUUUAAAAGGGCGGUUGUCGAUGCAUAUGUCUAUAAUAAAUAUUGCAGAUCUCGUUGAGUUGAUCUAGAUAUAGGUUGGCGUCGGAGGGGAAACCACUUCGCCAACAUAAACUGAUGGUUUCCCAAGGACAAGCUUAGUGUCUUAAAAUAAGCAUUGAUCAGAUCGUAACAUGAGCUUUUAAUUAUUUGCAACAUUACCUUGUGUAUUGAGCAUAUAAGGAUAAUUGUAAAAAUAUUCCUUCGGGUAUUCUUGUCACUAACCUUUCCAGGAUUGGAGCAAGAAGAUCGGAUGAAUGACAAGCACAAGGUAUGUCCAACCAAUCAUCAUACAACAUUGAAUUAAAUUCAUCCAAAACUUGAAUUUUGCAAAAUUCAAGCUUGGGGGAGUACUUUACAUAAAAACAUCCUUUGCCAUGUUGCUAUGCUGGUUGUCCCUACCUUUGAAACAUGCUCAAUUUGUUAAAUACUAAUCACACUACUUCAUCUCCACUUGAGUAGAUCUCUAUAAACGCUGUCAUGCUACCUUUGUCUAUUUACUAGCAAGUGUUUGUUUGGAAGUACUCGCCAUACUUCCAUUGGCAUUUAAAUUAAGCAUGGUGCUUAGGUUAAAUAGCCUUCCUUAAUCUGAUUAGACAUGGAGUCUAGUUUGGUAAUUGAACUAAAAAAACUGCUUGAGUAGAUAUUGCUAUAUUUUGUCGGACUAACCCCUGCAGAAAAACUUUCAAUAUCGAUUUGGGAAGUCCUGAGAUAAACUCACAUCAGAGACGAAGAGAGUGACACAUGAAGUUUAACAAUUUGCACAAGAAGGACAUAGCUCAUUCAUCAUAGAGAGAUGAUCCAUGGAGGGUGCCACAAACACGACGCACAACCGCUAAGAAAGGAAAGCUUCCACAAGAUGAUACUGUACCAUCACUCUUCAAGCAAGAACAAGGGUGACACCGUAUUAAAAGGUGCAGACGUCAAGGUCCGCACCUGAAUCAAAUGACGCACCUGAAGAAUGAACACGGUGAGAAGUCUUGUCAAGAAGACUUAAAAUAUUGAACCCUCGCCGAAAGGUAAGAUUGGUAGUUAUCUAUAUUUAUCCUUUCUGCAUUCCCUUUUCCCUUUAAUUAUUUACUUUCCUUAAAUAGAUUAUUAGUUAAUCAUGCUAUCUUGAAAAGAAAAUAAAAAUGUUAAAAAAAUACUAAGCCUCAUGUGAGUAUACGAGUGGCAUAAAACCCAUAAGUACCUUCACUGUGGUGGCAUAAAAAUAAAAUAAAUAUUUCUUUUCUACUUUAUAAAAUAAAAAUAUAAAAAUAGGGAGUAAUAUUUAUUGAGGAAGCUCAACGUGGUGAAGGCUAGAUAUUUAUGCUAACACUUAAUUAGUUCCACAAGCUUUGUUGUCUAUUUGAGCUCCACAGAAUUUAAGAAUCAAGAAGACUAGCAGACGGAGGACAUUCUAAUCGCUGUCAGAAUGCUGCUGACUUUCAAAUACACCUCUGCUACCUGCUAGCUACAUCAAGAGAAAUUACGUCAAAAUUCAGCUUGGGGGAGAGCGCCCCUAUUUAUCUCGCUAAGUAUUUCUACCUAUCUUUAUACUUAUAUUAUAUUAGAAUAUUAAAAUACAUAAACUAUGAAAAACCAAAUAAAGAUUUUAUGCUUAUAUAUAUAUCUUUUCUUAGUUUGCUAAAUAAAUAAAUAAAUAAAUAAAUAAAUAAAUAAAGUUUGCUACGAAUCUUAAUAAUAAAACUCUAGCAUGGAUAUGAUGAAUAGUUGCUCUGCCUAAUUUGCAAAUUUAAAGUUCUCUCUCAAGUUUAGACAUAACUGUUAUAAUUUAAGCUUGCUCUAGAUCUAAACUUGUGGGAUGAAAACUUGAUCUGAAAUCUAAGUUGUUAACGGAUAUGAUAUGGGAAGGUUGAGCUGCUGUUUAUCUAUUCCUAGAGAUGCUAGAAUUCUUGAGAAUUUUAUCUUUGAAAAAUAUUUAAAAUGUUGCAUGAUGAGUUCCUGUAUGAUGAAAGUUUAAAUUCCUACCACAGCCAUAUAUACAUGCUUGCUAGACUUUGAGCCACACAUUUAUUAUUUACUGCUUAUGAGCAUUGAGUGUGGUCAAGCUGUGUAGACCCUUAGGAGCUUGUCAUGUGGUUAAAUCAAGAUUCACUUGCCCGUUCACUCAUAUAUAUGCUACUUCUACUCUGGAAGUACCAUCCACAUAUAUCCAUCCAUUUUCAUCUCCAGAAUCACCUAAAAAUAUUCUACUCCUAAUUCGGGAGAGAAUAGCCAAAAAUAUCUGUGUUUUUCCCUUGUGAAAUAAAUGCUCAAGUUAUCUUGCUACUACCACUUGCUAUAUUAUCUCAAGAGAUGAGUGCUCUGAAAAAAAAAGAAAAAAAAUAAAAAAAAAAUAAAAAAAAUAAAAAAAAUAAACGAGGAAAUAAAAAGGGGCAAGUGCCCGAAACCUCGAAAGAAAAGAAAAAGAGUGAGACGAGAGGUAAAAAUAGACAAGUGUCCGACAGUAGAAUUAGGGGUACAGGAUACCCACCUGAGAGAAAAGAAAAAGAAGAGCAUCUCAUUCUCCUCAUAAAGUUUCAAAAAGCAAGGAAGAUAUGUAUCCCCUCAAAAGAGCAAAAGUAGAAUUAGACUUUCACCAUUGUUAUCACCAUCAUCACCAUACACUAUUCAUUCGCCACACAUGCACAUCUUGAUUUGGCUUAUUGAUUUGUUUCUUUGGAUCCAUGGUUUGACUAUACAAUAAAUGUCUUGUAAGUAUGUAUACGUUAUCUCCCACCUAUGAGCUCCAGAUAUUAAAGCCUUAUUAGAGUAGGGUGAGAAAGAAGGCAAUGUCACUAUGCCUUAUACCACAAAUACCACAUAUUUUGAGAGAAGGCAUAUACCAUCACUGCCUUGGUAAGGAUCCAGAAAUACCACAAAAGAGAGAUAUGAGAGAGUCAUACAAAGGAAUCUCUGAGUUUUAUUUGAAAAUCUGCAAAAACUCCAGAGCUAUAGCUGAUCAAGAAUAAGCGACAUGGCACUUGACUGGACUGUUCUAUCUUUUAACCACUCAAGACAGAAGUGACAGUUACAAGUCCCAUGGUGAAAGGUAAAGUAAGUAAGUUUUAGUUCUUGACAGUUUACUCUAACUCAGAGAUGAGAACUUAUUUAAAAAGCAUGUGUACCGUCAAAUUUUUAAGAUAUUGCAACAACUUAUGAUCCAUAGCUGAGUCUAUCCUUGCUCAGGGACGAGCAAGAGGUAAGCUUGGGGGAGUUUGUUGACGGUCCUUAAGUAUCAAAUUUAACUAUCAAAUAAACAAAGAAAAGGAUCCAAAUGAAAUCAACAUCAAGACUUAGGGUUUUAUCUGACAGAAUUCCACGAGUUUUGGUGUUUGUCUAUUUCUGCAGGGGGUUAUCAGGAAAUAUGGAAGAAAGGCCCACAUGUCGGGAUUACGUAAAGAUAUUAACGUGCUGCGCAAUUAUCUUACAUCUAGAAGACUCCAGAAGCCACGAGACCGAAGCAGAGGCGAAACGGGGCCAGAGACAGGGCGCCCGCCCUGUCCUAAUGGGCGCCCGCCCACCUCCUGUGGCCAAUCACGCUCAAUCUCGCGGAUUAUGCUCCACCGACCUAAAGGAUCAAGAAUAACCAUUCAAUCAAUGUCGGUUUGAUCCGACGGCCCAGGAUCACUUGAGAGGACUAUAAAACCAGACCCCCUGGCCCCUGGAGGAGGCACCCCUUGAUCAUUAUUCAUUAUUCAUAGAUAGAGCAAAAGCUAGGGUUUAGAGAUGAGAGCUCUCCUCUCUUCUCUAAACUAGAGUAGAUCUAGAUAGUAGCGAGAUGGAGAGCGAAGGAGGAUUAGAGGAG